UCAGUAACACGUGGACAAUCUGCCCUAUCGUGGUGAAUAAUCUCGGGAAACUGAGGGUAAUACACCAUAGGCCUCCAGCACUGGAAUGUCUGGAGACCCAAAGCUCCGGCGCGAUAGGAUGAGUCUGCGGAUGAUUAGCUAGUAGGCGGUGUAAUGGACCACCUAGGCUAUAAUCAUUAAGGGUCUUGAGAGAGAUAGCCCUGAGACGGAAUCUGAGACACUAUUCCGAGCCUUACGGGGUGCAGCAGGCGCGAAAACUUUGCAAUACACGAAAGUGUGACAAGGGGAUUCCAAGUGUGCAUAUACCAUAUGCACUUUUUCGAAGUUUAAAACGCUUUGGGAAUAAGGGGUGGGCAAGACUAGUGCCAGCCGCCGCGGUAAAACUAGCAUCUCGAGUGGCAGCCACAAUUACUGGGCUUAAAGCGUCCGUAGCUCGUUCAGAAAGUCCCCGGUGAAAUCCUAUGGCUUAACCAUAGGGCUUGCCAGGGAAACUCCUGGACUUGAAGGCAGGAGAGGUCAGGGGUACGUCCGGGGUAGGGGCGAAAUCCUAUAAUCCUAGACGGACCAACAGUGGCGAAGGCGCCUGACAUGAAUGCGCUUGACAGUGAGGGACGAGAGCCAGGGUCGCGAAACGGAUUAGAUACCCGUGUAGUCCUGGCCGUAAACGAUGUUGACU
rnacentral:rRNA from 1 species